rnacentral:lncRNA from 1 species
UCAGGAGAUGGUGGCAGCUGGGGCUCUGGCAGGGGAGAUGGUGGCAGCUGGGGCUCUGGCGCGGGAGAUGGUGGCAGCUGGGGCUCUGGCAGGGGAAACGGUGGCCGGAGUGGUUACAGGAACUGGAACACCUCUGGUGGAGAUGAUCAGGCAGGAAAGAGUAAUGCCAACAACUCCUGGAGCCAGAACAGAUCAUCUCCAUCUAUCCUGGGUCAGCCAAGCGGUGAUGCUAACAAGUCUAGCACUUGGGGUGCUCCCAGUGGAGCAGCUGGUGGCGGAGGUUCUUGGGGAAAGAGCAACGAGGAUAACUGGAACCCAUCUGGAGGAUCUGCCAAAGAGAAGCCUUCAUGGGGCGGUGGGUCAGGAGCUCCUCCCAAGAAAGAGGACGGUGGUGCCGAGGGGAGCGGGAGCCAAGGAGGUGGCACUGGCAGUACCUGGGAUAAAGCGGCAGAUGGUGGCACUGGCAGUACCUGGGAUAAAGCGGCAGAUGGUGCAUGGAACGGCAACAAGGGUACUGAUACUGGCAGUGGUGGAUGGUAAAGCUUUCGCGAAAAUCAACUUGCGCCUUAUUGGCGCUGACAUGUAAAUAAUGUGCCCGUGCUGUGUGAACUGUGUUGGUGCGUGU